rnacentral:rRNA from 1 species
GAUGAACGCUGGCGGCGUGCCUAAUACAUGCAAGUCGAGCGAACAGGCGAGGAGCUUGCGCCUUUGACGUUAGCGGCGGACGGGUGAGUAACACGUAUGUAACCUACCUAUAAGACUGGGAUAACUUCGGGAAACCGGAUCUAAUACCGUAUAAUAUUUUGAACCGCAGUGUUCGAUGGUGAAAUAUGGCUUUGCUAGCACGAAUAGAUGGACCUGCGCCGUAUUAGCUAGUUGUUAAGGUAACGGCGUACCAAGGCAACGAUACGUAGCCGACGUGAGAGGGUGAUCGUCCACACGGGAGCUGGGACAGCGUCCAGACUACUACGGGAGGCCGCAGUAGGGAAUCGGCCGCAAUGGGCGAAAGCCUGACGGAGCAACGCCGAGUGAGUGAUGAAGGUCUUCGGAUCGUAAAACUCUGUUAUUAGUGAAGAACAAACGUGUAAGUAAAUGUGCACGUCUUGACGGUACCUAAUCAGAAAGCCACGGCUAACUACGUG